rnacentral:sRNA from 1 species
GUUUAGCCCUGAUAGUAAUGGAAAGCUUUGUGAAGGAAAAAACUAUUUUUUCUUGACAAAAAACUGCGACCAAAGAAGCAUGUUUUUUGGCUUAGAAAAAAAGUUUUUUACAAGCAAACUUGCAAUGGAUAGCAGGAAAUAGC